AAGCAGGUCCCUAUAUUAUUCUACUUGCACGCCGAGAGGUGCCUUUCGUAUACUGCUUAGGGUUGGCAGAGGCGCUGGGACCGAACGGCCCCAGGAGAAGUCAUUAACACACUGUGUGGAUACAAGACACUAAAUAAAGAGCGCCUGGAGCUGGUGGCCACUAUUCACGUACGUGGCUGCAUCCAUGCGGUCGGCUUGUGGCUUAAAGACAAUUUUGAAGCCACUUUUGGAAUUGUUUGCUCUCUGCUGUUUCCACAGGGACUGGGACACGAGAGUCAGAGGCUGCAGGCUCUUCACACUGAUGAAGAAUGAUGAUGUUGGUGACAAGCAGGCACCUCAUGUGUGUUGUUAACUAUCCUAAAGAGCCAGUUGUGGCAUAGUGGUUAGAGUGUCAGAAUAGAGCCUGGGAGACCAGGAUUCAAAUCCCUGCUCAGCCAUGAAGCUCACCGGAUGACCUUGAGCUAGUCACUGUCUCUCAGCCUGAUCUACCUCACAGGGUUGUUAUGAGGGUAAAAAUGAGAGGAGGGAAGUGUGUGCACCAUCUUGAGCUCCUUGAAGGGAAAAGUGGGGUUUAAGUGUGCCAAAUAAAUAUUAAGCCAGUUGAGCAGAGGUUUGUAUUGUGUUGCAAAUACUCCAUGAGUUUGUGGAGCAGCUUUCUCUAACUUCUUCAGUUGUCUUGGAUGGGAAUUCUCAUCAGUCCACACCAUGCUGAGUAGAUCUGAUGGGAGAUGCAGCCUAAUCUGGAGGGCACCAGCUUGUGGAAGGCUGUUUUUGAGCAUCCACAGUUGUGAAUUCAUUGGUUGCCAGCCUUCCAAGGGCUCAGUCUUCAGGUAGUCUGGUUGGAGACUUAGGCUGAAUAGCCAGAGUCAACCUCAUGCUAACAGAGCCACAAGCAGGUUCAUGUUCUAGCAGGAGAGAAGAUUCAGAAGCUCACAUCUGGGAUGCACAAUCCAAGCCAGGCAGCGAUCAGGAUCCAAGGCAGAUCGUUGGAUCAGAAGGGAGUGGAAGCUAGGCUGUUUCCACACGCAAAGGUUGAAGAGCAAGCAUGGGGAGUGGUCUCCAUUUAUACACCGCUUGAUGACUAAAAACAAC
rnacentral:lncRNA from 1 species